rnacentral:antisense_RNA from 1 species
ACUAUUGAAGGCAUCGUGGGUCAUGGGCAAAUCGUUGUUCAUGACUCAUGGUGCUUUUUAUUUAUUUAAAACAGAUGAUGAGCAGAAGAUAACGAGUAAGAAAAAGAGGGGAGAUGAAACAAGAAUGGUGCGUUCGAUUGGACUCGAACCAACGACCCCCACCA